rnacentral:rRNA from 1 species
GCGGCAGCGCGGGGGCAACCCUGGCGGCGAGCGGCGAACGGGUGAGUAACACAUCGGAACGUACCCAGUUGUGGGGGAUAGCCCGGCGAAAGCCGGAUUAAUACCGCAUACGACCUGAGGGUGAAAGUGGGGGAUCGCAAGACCUCACGCAGUUGGAGCGGCCGAUGGCGGAUUAGCUAGUUGGUGAGGUAAAGGCUCACCAAGGCGACGAUCCGUAGCUGGUCUGAGAGGACGACCAGCCACACUGGAACUGAGACACGGUCCAGACUCCUACGGGAGGCAGCAGUGGGGAAUUUUGGACAAUGGGCGCAAGCCUGAUCCAGCAAUGCCGCGUGCAGGAAGAAGGCCUUCGGUUUGUAAACUGCUUUUGU